rnacentral:rRNA from 1 species
UACGAAGGGGGCUAGCGUUGUUCGGAAUUACUGGGCGUAAAGCGCGCGCAGGCGGCCUUCCAAGUCAGGGGUGAAAGCCCAGAGCUCAACUCUGGAAUUGCCUUUGAGACUGUGAGGCUUGAGUACGGGAGAGGUGAGUGGAAUUCCCAGUGUAGAGGUGAAAUUCGUAGAUAUUGGGAAGAACACCGGUGGCGAAGGCGGCUCACUGGCCCGAAACUGACGCUCAUGCACGACAGCGUGGGGAUCAAACAGG